rnacentral:rRNA from 1 species
UACAGAGGGGGCAAGCGUUGUUCGGAAUUACUGGGCGUAAAGCGCAUGUAGGCGGAUCGUUAAGUCGGGGGUGAAAUCCUGGAGCUCAACUCCAGAACUGCCUUUGAUACUGGCGAUCUUGAGUCCGGGAGAGGUGAGUGGAACUCCGAGUGUAGAGGUGAAAUUCGUAGAUAUUCGGAAGAACACCAGUGGCGAAGGCGGCUCACUGGCCCGGUACUGACGCUGAGGUGCGAAAGCGUGGGGAGCAAACAGG